rnacentral:rRNA from 1 species
ACGCGAAGAACCUUACCUAGGGCUUGAAAAGCAGUCUAAACCAGUGAAAGCUGGGUACCCGCAAGGGGGGCUGUACAGGUGCUGCAUGGCUGUCGUCAGCUCGUGCCGUGAGGUGUUUGGUUAAGUCCAGCAACGAGCGCAACCCCUGGGUUUAGUUGCCAGCACGUAAUGGUGGGAACUCUAAACCAACUGCCUACGCAAGUAGUGAGGAAGGUGGGGACGACGUCAAGUCAUCAUGGCCCUUACGCCUAGGGCAACACACGUGCUACAAUGGCAACUACAACGCGCAGCAAUACCGCGAGGUGGAGCGAAUCGCUAAAAAGUUGUCUCAGUUCGGAUCGGAGUCUGCAACUCGACUCCGUGAAGUUGGAAUUGCUAGUAAUCGGGGGUCAGCACACCCCGGUGAAUACGUUCCCGGGUCUUGUACACACCG